rnacentral:misc_RNA from 1 species
UUAAAAAGAUACGCCUGAUUGCGGAAUACGCUACACUUGUUUUCGAGAGUGAGAUCUGGAUGCAUGUUUGUACCCACUGAGUGCGCAGUGGUAGCAAGACAGUUAGGGACUGCAGGUCAAAGACACUGUAGUGAGUCGCACGGUUGAUGUGACACGCUCUUUAGUCUUCACUGUCCGUUUUAACGCGUCCCUGUCACAUUCUUUCUCCCUCCCCUAGACCUUGAAUCGAUCGCGUGUCGAUGCCCAGCACUGUCCGCAAACAGACCUAAAUGGCUAUGUCUACCAGCAAACAGAAUCUGACGGCUUCGACGCUAACCAUUUCGGAAAAUGAUGUUCAUGUUGGUAUCAAAGACUCGAGGAAGGAGUCCAGAUCGAACGGGAUUUAUUGUGUACUGAUAUUGGCUCUGGCCGCCAUUAUAGCCGUCUCUGUGGCCUUGGCGGUUGUUGUCAUUAGAAAUGAAGAAAACGACAACGAUUCGUCUCAAAAAGCAGAGACGGGGGCCAACAUGCAGACACCCCACGCCUUACCCUCCACAACAACCGACCCCAACAUCAUCACUUCCACCCGGGAAGUUUGUAACUCUCCUGAGUGUGUUCGAGCAGCAUCGAGUUUACUCAAUUCUAUAGACCCCAAAGCAGACCCGUGUAACAAUUUCUUCCAGUUUGCGUGCGGAAUGUGGCGGAAGAGGCAAGUGAUACCGGAAGACAAGUCCAUCACAGGUGUAUUCUACCAGGUGGAUGAUUCCGUGGAUAUCAUCCUUAAAUGAGAUAGAAGACACUGACAUUGAAGCUGUGAGGAAAGCCAAGAGGUUGUACCGGUCGUGCGUUGAUCUAGAUGCUAUAGAGAAAGACAACUUCACUUCAGCAAAAAGAUUGAUAAAAGAACUCGGUGGUUGGCCCGUAUUGAGCGCGGACUGGAAAGAAGACACGUUCAAUCUAAUUGGACUUUUGGAAAAAGUUAGGCUUUACACGAAUAGUCCACCUCUGAUGGACAUGUACGUGUAUGAUGAUUCAAAGAAUCCGACAAGAAAUAUUCUCUAUAUCGACCAGCCUCAGCUUGGAUUACCAGAUAGGGAGUACUUCCUGAGGGGUAGGAAUGACCGGAAGUUACUGGCAUAUCAAAAAUACGCUCAGGAAAUGGCGGUCAUUUUCGGAGCCGAGGAAUCAACAGCUUCCGAAGAUAUGAAAGACGUUGUAGAUUAUGAAAUUGAAAUUGCAAACUCCACCAUGCCAUCCGACGAGAGACGUGACGAUGAGAAGUUGUACCACAAAAUGACGAUAGGAGAGCUCCAGACCAAGUACCCCAAUUUUCAAUGGCUAGCAUAUUUUCAAGCCACGCUAAGCCGUGAUGAUCUCAACAUUAGCGUGGAUAGUUCGACACCUGUGAUUAACAGAAACCCGGAUUAUAUGGAAAAAAUUGUUAACAAACUUAACACAGAGAAUAAGAGAAUUAUACAAAACUACGUCAUUUGGAGAACUAUGAAAUCGAUAAGUGGAGCUUUACCUUCAAGUGUGAGAGAUGCAUACGGAACAUACAGAGAGGCACUGAUUGGAUCUUCAGUACAACCCCCUCGCUGGAAGACCUGUGUGGGCGAUGUUAACAGUAAGGUAGGACUGGCCGUGGGGAAACCCUUCCUGGAGGAGACUUUUGACAGCCAGGCAAAAUACAAGGCAGAUGAAAUGAUAGAAAAUUUGCGGUCAGCGAUGAAAGAUUUAUUAAGGAAGAAUGAAUGGAUGGACAAGGAAACCAUAGCCAGGGCUAUACAGAAGGCAGACCAAGUGCAGUCAAGAAUCGGGUACCCGUCAACAGUUAAAAAUGACACGUUUCUGAACGAGAGGUAUAAGGAUUAUGAGUUUGGUGAGACAAAUUAUUUUGACAACGUCUUUGUGUACUCCAAACUUCAAACGAAGGAGAACCUCCAAGAGCUGCCAAAACCGGUGGACAGAAACAAAUGGGAGACGCCCCCGGCCACGGUCAACGCCUACUACAACCCUGCCAGGAAUCAGAUAAUGUUUCCAGCCGGAAUACUUCAGCCACCAUUUUACAAAAACGGAUAUCCUCAGUACCUUAAUUAUGGUGGAAUUGGCUACGUCAUAGGUCAUGAGAUUACGCAUGGUUUUGAUGACAGUGGGCGCCAGUAUGAUGGAACUGGAAAUCUUCAGCAAUGGUGGACCAAUGCAUCCGUCACAAACUUUAAGGAGAGGGCGGACUGUAUGACCAACCAGUACAGUAGUUAUACAGUGGAAGAGGCAGGGAAAAAGCUGAAUGGCAAACUGACAUUAGGUGAAAAUAUCGCAGAUAAUGGUGGACUAAAGGAGAGCUGGCUGGCUUACGAAAAAUGGUUACAGUCUUCGAGAAAGGGAAAACCUGAGCCAUUCUUACCUGGUCUUGACUACACCCCCAAACAGCUAUUCUACCUGAAUGCAGCACACGUGUGGUGUGGUUUGGUGCGACCUGACGAGGCAGCUCGUAGAAUCCUCACGGACCCUCACGGGAAUUUUAAAUCCCGAGUUAUCGGACCUCUACAAAACAACGAAGAGUUCAGCAAAGCGUUUAACUGUGCGGUGGGAAGUUAUAUGAAUCCAAGAGACAAAUGCAUUGUAUGGUAAAACGAGGGCUUCCUGUGCAGUAUUUGCAAUGAAUUCCAGAAUACAUGUUUUUGUAAUUGUUUAUAUGUGAUUUUUUUUCAUUAUGUAAAUCACGGCAUUGAAUGCCAAUAUAUACAUGUAUAUACGUAUCAUUGUUUAGUAUAAUUAUACACGCAUGUCUUGGUUUUUCUAAUGACAAUAUGUGGUCCUUCUUGUAAAACUUAAUAUUAUCUUUUGAUCCAGUAGAGGUAUACAUGUACAUUGCUAAUAUCAGAUCCCCCUUAUUAUAAUACAAUGAAGACAUUUUCAUGUAAAUAACGGGUAUUGUUAUUGUAUUAAUUUUAUAAAAUGGAUUAUGUAAUUGUAUUUAAUUUUGAAUUUUUUUUUAUAAUGUGUAAUUUAUCCUGAUUUAGUUGAUGUUUAUCUAUAUUGCUAUCUUAACGGCAAUUUGAAAAAAAAUUGUUUUGAUAUUUAAAUCUUUAUUUCUAUUUCUUAUGUCUAUGCUAUAUUUUUAUUUUUAAGUAGUCUUGUAUCAUACUGAUUCAGCAACUACAGAACCACAAGAAGUUUUCAUUUUAUUUGUGAUAUCAUAACUAAGCUGUUUGAUCUGCUUUUAUAAUCUACAAUGUUAAUGUAGUAUAAUCUUCAAAUAACAUAAUUAUCUUAGAAAAAUAAAUCUUUUACCAAAUUAC